rnacentral:sRNA from 1 species
GCCGGGCACAGUGGAGCAUGCCUGUAACCCCGGUGGCUUGGGAGGCUGAGACAGGAGGAUUGUGAGUUCAAAGCCAGCCUCAGAAAUGGCGAGACACUAUGCUACUCCCUGAGACCCUGUCUUUA